rfam:Ovis aries breed Texel chromosome 15, whole genome shotgun sequence.
UCCUGACAGCUCAGAUGGUAAAGAAUCUGCCUGCAAUAUAGAAGGCCCUGGUUCAAUUCCUGGGUCAGGAA